rnacentral:rRNA from 1 species
AAGUGGUUAUGACUGAGUGGCGGACGGGUGAGUAACGCGUGGGCAACCUGCCCCAUACCGGGGGACAACAGCUGGAAACGGCUGCUAAUACCGCAUACGUUUUAAAAACCGCAUGGUUUUUAGAAGGAAACUCCGGUGGUAUGGGAUGGGCCCGCGUCUGAUUAGCUGGUUGGCGGGGUAACGGCCCACCAAGGCGACGAUCAGUAGCCGGCCUGAGAGGGCGGCCGGCCACAUUGGGACUGAGACACGGCCCAGACUCCUACGGAAGGCAGCAG